rnacentral:rRNA from 1 species
CAGUAGCCACGGUAAUACAGAGGGUGCGAGCGUUAAUCGGAUUUACUGGGCGUAAAGCGUGCGUAGGCGGCUUUUUAAGUCGGAUGUGAAAUCCCUGAGCUUAACUUAGGAAUUGCAUUCGAUACUGGGAAGCUAGAGUAUGGGAGAGGAUGGUAGAAUUCCAGGUGUAGCGGUGAAAUGCGUAGAGAUCUGGAGGAAUACCGAUGGCGAAGGCAGCCAUCUGGCCUAAUACUGACGCUGAGGUACGAAAGCAUGGGGAGCAAACAGGAUUAGAUACCCGCGUAGUCCCUGUCUCUUAUAU